rnacentral:rRNA from 1 species
UACGGAGGGUGCAAGCGUUAUCCGGAUUCACUGGGUUUAAAGGGCGCGUAGGCGGCGUGGUAAGUCAGUUGUGAAAUCUCCGAGCUUAACUCGGAACGGCCAACUGAUACUGCUGUGCUAGAGUGCAGAAGGGGCAAUCAGAAUUCUUGGUGUAGCGGUGAAAUGCGUAGAUAUCAAGAGGAAUACCUGAGGUGAAGACGGGUUGCUAGGCUGACACUGACGCUGAGGCGCGAAAGCCAGGGGAGCAAACGGG